GUGAGGGAUAUUGGUCAAUGGGGGAAACCCUGAACCAGCAACGCCGCGUGAGGGAAGACGGUUUUCGGAUUGUAAACCUCUGUCCUCUGUGAAGAUAGUGACGGUAGCAGAGGAGGAAGCUCCGGCUAACUACGUGCCAGCAGCCGCGGUAAUACGUAGGGAGCGAGCGUUGUCCGGAUUUACUGGGUGUAAAGGGUGCGUAGGCGGCUCUGCAAGUCAGAAGUGAAAUCCAUGGGCUUAACCCAUGAACUGCUUUUGAAACUGUAGAGCUUGAGUGAAGUAGAGGUAGGCGGAAUUCCCGGUGUAGCGGUGAAAUGCGUAGAGAUCGGGAGGAACACCAGUGGCGAAGGCGGCCUACUGGGCUUUAACUGACGCUGAGGCACGAAAGCAUGGGUAGCAAACAGGAUUAGAAACCCUGGUAGUCC
rnacentral:rRNA from 1 species